AGAGUUUGAUCAUGGCUCAGGACGAACGCUGGCGGCGCGCUUAACACAUGCAAGUCGAGCGAGAACCGGACCUUCGGGUCCGGGGACAGCGGCGAACGGGUGAGUAACACGUGGGUAAUCAACCCCCGACACCGGGAUAGCCCGGGGAAACCCGGAUUAAUACCGGACGGCCCAGCAGCUCUUCGGGGCGGCUGGAGAAGGUAGCUUCGGCCUCCGGUCGGGGACGAGCCCGCGGCGGAUUAGCUUGUUGGUGGGGUAACGGCCCACCAAGGCGACGAUCCGUAGCUGGUCUGAGAGGACGAUCAGCCACACUGGGACUGAGACACGGCCCAGACUCCUACGGGAGGCAGCAGUGGGGAAUCUUGCGCAAUGGGCGAAAGCCUGACGCAGCGACGCCGCGUGAGGGAAGAAGGCUUUCGGGUUGUAAACCUCUUUCAGAAGGGACGAAGCCACUCGGGUUAAUAGCCCAGAGGGUGACGGUACCUUCAGAAGAAGCCCCGGCUAACUACGUGCCAGCAGCCGCGGUAAUAC
rnacentral:rRNA from 1 species